UGGGGAAUUUUGGACAAUGGGCGAAAGCCUGAUCCAGCAAUGCCGCGUGUGUGAAGAAGGCCUUCGGGUUGUAAAGCACUUUUGUCCGGAAAGAAAUCCUUGGCUCUAAUACAGUCGGGGGAUGACGGUACCGGAAGAAUAAGCACCGGCUAACUACGUGCCAGCAGCCGCGGUAAUACGUAGGGUGCAAGCGUUAAUCGGAAUUACUGGGCGUAAAGCGUGCGCAGGCGGUUUGCUAAGACCGAUGUGAAAUCCUCGGGCUCAACCUGGGGAACUGCAUUGGUGACUGGCAGGCUAGAGUAUGGCAGAGGGGGGUAGAAUUCCACGUGUAGCAGUGAAAUGCGUAGAGAUGUGGAGGAAUACCGAUGGCGAAGGCAGCCCCCUGGGCCAAUACUGACGCUCAUGCACGAAAAGCGUGGGGGAGCAAAACAGGAUUAGAUACCCUGGUAGUCACGCCCUAAAACGAUGUCAACUAGUUGUUGGGGAUUCAUUUCCUUAGUAACGUAGCUAAACGCGUGAAGUUGACCNCCUGGGGGAGUACGGUCGCAAGAUUAAAAACUCAAAGGAAUUGACGGGGUCAUAGCUG
rnacentral:rRNA from 1 species